rnacentral:rRNA from 1 species
CCUACGGGAGGCAGCAGUGGGGAAUAUUGCACAAUGGGGGGAACCCUGAUGCAGCGACGCCGCGUGAGUGAAGACGUAUUUCGGUAUGUAAAGCUCUAUCAGCAGGGAAGAAGAUGACGGUACCUGACUAAGAAGCUCCGGCUAACUACGUGCCAGCAGCCGCGGUAAUACGUAGGGGGCAAGCGUUAUCCGGAUUUACUGGGUGUAAAGGGAGCGUAGACGGCAGGGCAAGUCAGGAGUGAAAGCACGGGGCCCAACCCCGGGACUGCUUUGGAAACUGCCAUGCUAGAGUGCUGGAGAGGUAAGCGGAAUUCCUAGUGUAGCGGUGAAAUGCGUAGAUAUUAGGAGGAACUCCAGUUGCGAAGGCGGCUUACUGGACAGUAACUGACGUUGAGGCUCGAAAGCGUGGGUAGCAAACAGGAUUAGAUACCCCUGUAGUC